rnacentral:rRNA from 1 species
UACGUAGGGUGCGAGCGUUAAUCGGAAUUACUGGGCGUAAAGCGUGCGCAGGCGGUUUUGUAAGUCAGAUGUGAAAUCCCCGGGCUUAACCUGGGAAUGGCAUUGGAAACUGGCGAGCUUGAGUGUGGCAGAGGGGGGUGGAAUUCCGCGUGUAGCAGUGAAAUGCGUAGAGAUGCGGAGGAACACCGAUGGCGAAGGCAGCCCCCUGGGCUGACACUGACGCUCAGGCACGAAAGCGUGGGGAGCAAACAGG